CGGGACGUAGCGCAGCUUGGUAGCGUACCACUUUGGGGUAGUGGGGGUCGUGGGUUCAAAUCCCGCCGUCCCGA
rnacentral:tRNA from 1 species